rnacentral:rRNA from 1 species
GACGAACGCUGGCGGCGUGCUUAACACAUGCAAGUCGAACGCUGAAGCUUGGUGCUUGCACUGGGUGGAUGAGUGGCGAACGGUUGAGUAAUACGUGAGUAACCUGCCCUUGACUCUGGGAUAAUCCUGUGAAACUGGUUCUAAUACUGGAUACGACAUGUCACCGCAUGUUGGUGUGUGGAAAGGGUUUUACUGGUUUUGGAUGGGCUCACGGCCUAUCAGCUUGUUGGUGGGGUAAUGGCUCACCAAGGCGACGACGGGUAGCCGGCCUGAGAGGGUGACCGGCCAAACUGGGACUGACACACGGCCGAGACUCCUACGGGAGGCAGCAGUGGGGAAUAUUGCACAAUGGGCGGAAGCCGGAUGCAGCGACGCCGCGUGAGGGAUGACGGCCUUCGGGUUGUAAACCUCUUUCAGCACGGAGGAAGCGAAAGUGACGGUACGUGACGAAGAAGCGCCGGCUAACUACGUG